rnacentral:rRNA from 1 species
AUUGAACGCUGGCGGCAGGCCUAACACAUGCAAGUCGAGCGAGCGGCGGACGGGUGAGUAAUGUAUGGGGACUGCCCGAUAGAGGGGGAUAACUACUGGAAACGGUGGCUAAUACCGCAUACUAUCGGAUAACCCAUAUGGGAUUAGCUAGUAGGUGGGGUACAGGCUCACCUAGGCGACGAUCUCUAGCUGGUCUGAGAGGAUGAUCAGACACACUGGGAAUGAGACACGGACCAUACUCCUACGGAGCCAGCAGUGGGGAAUAGUGCACUAUUGGCGCCAGCCUGAUGCAGCAAUGCCGCGUGUAUGAAGAAGGCCUUAGGGUUGUAAAGUCCUUUCCGCGGGGCGGCGUUACCCACAGACGAAGCACCGGCUAACUCCGUGCCAGCAGCCGCGGUAAUAC